GUUGGCUUGCAUCCGUAGCUGCGAGUAUUCUUCGCUUGUGCUUGUGCUGCAAUGUACGCGUCGGUCAGAUUUCGCGACGACGACGCGCGAGAUGUCGUUAGCAUCGGAGAUAUAAAAAAUUUCAGUUCUCAAAGCAUUUCAGACUACCAAAGCAACAGGCGGUACAAAGUGCACUGGAAGGACGACCAUCAAAGUGGCUUUUUUUCGAGCGCAGAUCCUGCGGUUGUUUGAGACAAAAGAGGCUGCACAUCAACCGACAAGGCGGGUCCCACUUCCUCCACGCCCGUCGGACAGUGAGGACAGCGAGAUCGAUGUCCAGCGUGGAUUCAUUGGACAAGUUUUUUUCAGGCACUACCUUGAGAAGCGGUGCAGCAGUGAAGAUGACAUAACAAGGAGGCACAACAUGCUCAGAAAGCUUGUUGCUGGAAAGAUUGCGGAUCUGAUGAAGAAGUAAUUUUGUAAAUAUUAUUUGUAAAUAAAUACAUGCCUACU